rnacentral:rRNA from 1 species
UACGUAGGUGGCAAGCGUUAUCCGGAAUUAUUGGGCGUAAAGCGCGCGUAGGCGGUUUUUUAAGUCUGAUGUGAAAGCCCACGGCUCAACCGGGGAGGGUCAUUGGAAACUGGAAAACUUGAGUGCAGAAGAGGAAAGUGGAAUUCCAUGUGUAGCGGUGAAAUGCGCAGAGAUAUUGCGGAACACCAGUGGCGAAGGCGACUUUCUGGUCUGUAACUGACGCUGAUGUGCGAAAGCGUGGGGAUCAAACAGG